rnacentral:piRNA from 1 species
UAGUCAACUCGGAGACACCACUGGU